rnacentral:rRNA from 1 species
UACGGAGGGAGCUAGCGUUGUUCGGAAUUACUGGGCGUAAAGCGCACGUAGGCGGCUUUGUAAGUUAGAGGUGAAAGCCCGGGGCUCAACCUCGGAACUGCCUUUGAUACUGCAAAUCUCGAGUCCGGAAGAGGUGAGUGGAAUUCCUAGUGUAGAGGUGAAAUUCGUAGAUAUUAGGAAGAACACCAGUGGCGAAGGCGGCUCACUGGUCCGGUACUGACGCUGAGGUGCGAAAGCGUGGGGAGCAAACAGG